rnacentral:ncRNA from 1 species
UUAAUGUUGGUUCACGUAAAGUGAAUAACAGGGAAUAAGGUUUAAAUCCUUAACUGUACCCGCAACUGUGAUAGUGGAGUUUUUAGAAAUAUGUCACUGGGAAACUGGGAAGACUUCUAAAAAUUAAGAUACUUUAGUCAGGAGACCUACCAACAAAAUUA